rnacentral:rRNA from 1 species
CAUAGCGUUAUGGACCCACCUGAUCCCAUGCCGAACUCAGUAGUGAAACGUAAUAGCGCCGAUGGUAGUGUGGGGUCUCCCCAUGUGAGAGUAGGACAUCGCCAGGC